UACAGGGGGUGCAAACGUUGCUCGGAUUCACUGGGCGUAAAGCGCGCGUAGGCGGCUGCCUAAGUCGGGUGUGAAAGCCCCGGGCUCAACCUGGGAACUGCACUCGAUACUGGGCGGCUAGAGUAUGAGAGAGGGAGGUAGAAUUCCACGUGUAGCGGUGAAAUGCGUAGAUAUGUGGAGGAAUACCGGUGGCGAAGGCGGCCUCCUGGUUCAAUACUGACGCUGAGGUGCGAAAGCGUGGGGAGCAAACAGG
rnacentral:rRNA from 1 species